UAGAAAAAAAUAUUGAGGAAAUGUUUUACAAGUAGUGCUUAAGACCUUAUAAGUUUCUUAGGGAUUUUUGAUUUGAUGCAGCAUAUACUGUCAGGGAAGUAUAAAGAAUAAGGGGACCAAAUAUUUCUGUUAACCAUAUCCCUGUUCCUCUACUCAUCAUUUCCUAAUUCUAUGACCCUACGCAAGUCACUUGCUUUAUAUUUUGCUGUUGUUCAUACUGUAAAAAUCAAAAUAAUUAACUUGCAUGAAAUUGACAGGAAAGUUAAGUUUUUGGUGAUGGAAAGAAAAGGAAAAACACGGUACCAAGAAACCUCACUGAGAAACACUGGUUUUUUACAUUAUUUCAACAUUGUGUAAACUCAAUGAAUCACAAUAUAUUUUCCCCCUGAAGUAAUUGGGGUUAAGUGACUUGCCCAGGGUCACAUAGCUGGGAAAUAUUAAAUAUCUGAGAUCACAUUUGAACUCAGGUCCUCCUGACUUCAGGGCUUGUGUUCUCUCUACUGCACCAACUAGCUGCCUUGCUCACGAUAUUUUUUGUUUUAACAUCUAGAAGGGACUUUAGAGUUUAUCUGUCAGUUAAAUUAGGUUAUGCUGUCUACUGAGGGCAUAGUCUUAUCCUUUUUUAUAAUCCAUACAAUAGAACCAAUCCUAUAGUUAAAUAAACUGAAUAAAACAUGUCUUUAAGCCAAAUUACCCUCCAGACUGCUCUUGAAGAAAUAGUUCAUUCAAAAUAGUUUAGCAGUUUAUAGCUCUAAAGGGAACACUUUAUUACUUACAUUACUCCAUUAAAGGAUUAGACUUCUUAUAUUCUACAUUUAAAUACUUAACAUUUUUGCAAUUAAUUUCAUAUUACAAAAUACUGCCCUACAGUAUUAAUGUUAGUGAUAUGGUGCUUUAACAUCAGAAUAGGGACUUGACAUUUUUUUUUUUUUUUUUUUUUUUACUAUGAUAAGUAACUUAACAAACCUACAACUAAUUCUCAGCUCUAGAGUUAAGUAGAACAAGUCUGUCCCCUUUUCCCACACAGCAGCCCUUUAAAUGUUUCAAAUUACAACUAUUUACAUCCACUCUAAGUCUUCUGUUCUCUAAGAUAAAUAUCCCUAGUUUCUUCAACCAUCUUGGUUGAGCUCCUUUACAUGAAUGCCUUAUGUUAGCUGUACUUUUUGGGACAGCUAAGUGAUGAAGUGGAUAGAAUGCUGGGUCAAAUAGAGAAUAGACUGAAGUAGGAGAGAUUUGAAGUAAGCAGACCCUUCUUCAGGCUAGUGCAAUAGUCCUGGCAUCAGGUGCUAAGGGUCCACACCAGGGUGUCAGUGGAAAGAAGGAAGCAUAUUUCAGCGAUGUUGCCUUUUCCUUGUUAACAGAUUGGAUACAGACAGUGAGAGACAGUGGGGGAUCCAGAACGACUUCCAAGCUGGGAACUUUAGAGACCCUUUAUGGCCAUAGAGAAGGUAAAAGGGGGGAGGAGGGCAUAGAGGGAAAGCCAAUGCGUUCUGUUUUAUUAAGUUUAAAAUGUUUCCUGGACAGCCAAUUUAAGAUGUCUUAAAGGCAGUUAUAGAUGGGAGAGUGGAAGUCAGCAGAGAGGCUGUAAACAGUAGAGGUAGAUUUGAGAAUCAUCCUGAGAGAGACAUUAAUUAAAUUCACAGGGGAACUGAUGAGAUCACCAAGUAAAGUAGUAUAGAGCCAGAGGAGAAGAGAAGAGAGAGCCCUAGACUGAACCCUGAGGACUAAAGUUAGAGAGCAUGAUGUAGAAGAUAAAUCAUCCAAGGAACAGGAGAUCCAGGAGAAAGUGGUAUCUCAAAAACCUAUAGAGAAGAGACUAUUAUAAAAAAGGAGAAAAUGAUAUCGAGAAUCAAAGGCUGUAGAGUGAUGAGGAGAAUGAGGAUUAACAAAGGAUCAACUAAAAAGUUAGCUGGAAUGAUUAACAACUUUGGCAAAAUUAGAGGAUAUAAAAUAAGCCUACAUAGACCAUCAACACUUCCAUGUACUACCUAGGAAACCCAGCAACAAGAGAUAAAUUGCAUUUAAAACAGCUUCAGGCAUUAUGAAAUACCUGGGAGCCUACUUGCCAAGCCAAACUAAGGCAUUAUAUGUAUACAAUUACAAAAUGAUUUUUAUACAAAUAAAGACAUCUAAAUAUUUGGAGAAUUAUUAAUUGCUCAUGAAUAGGCUAAGCCAAUAUAAUAAAAUUGUUAAUUAUGCCUAAAUUAUUUUACUUAUUCAGUGCUAUACCAAACUAUCAAAAAUUAUUUCAUAGAGCUAAAAAAAUAAUAAAAUUCAUCUGGAAGAAUAAAAGGUCAAUAAUAUCAAGGCAAUCGAUGAAAAAAAAGUGAAGAAAGGAAGCUUCAAGGUUCCAGAUUUCAAGCAAUAUUUCAAGUGGUAUUAAUCAAAACAAUCUGGUAUUGGUUAAGAAAUAAGUAGUGGGAUCAGUGGAGUAGAUUAGGAACAUAAUACACAGUAGUAAAUAAUGACCAUGGUAAUCUAGUGUUUGACAAAAUCCAAAAAUUCAAGCUUUUGGAAUAAGAACAUUUGAUAAAAAUUGCUGGGGAAAUCGGACAACAGUUUGUCAGAAACUAGGCAUGAACCAACACCACACUUUGUAUACCAAAAUAAAGUCAAGACUGAAAAAUAAUUUAGACAUAAAGAAUGAUAUCAUAAACUAGGGAGUAUGGAAAAAUGUUCUUGUCAAAUCUAUGCAAAAGGAAAGAGUUUAUGAUUAAACAAAAGAAAGUAAAAUAAUUUUUAUUAUAUGAAAUGUAAAAACUUUUAUCCCAAUGAAACCAAUAUAGCCAAAAUUUGAAGGAAAAUAGAAAACUGGGGGAAAUUUUAUAGCAAGUUUUUCCGAUAAAGGCCUCAUUUCUCAAACAUAUAGGGAACUGAACCAAAUUUAUAAACAUAACAGCCAUUUCCUAGUUGGAAAAUGGUCAAGAAUAUGAACAGGCAGUUUUCAAAAGAAGAAAUCAAAGCUAUCAAUAGUCACCACCGAUUAGAGAAAUGCAAAAGAAAACUUUGACUCAAUCUCAUACUUAUUAGGUUUGCUAAAAUGACAGAAAAGGAAAAUGACAAAUGUUAGAGGGGAUGUGGAAAAAUUGGAAUACCCAUGAGAACAGUGAACUAGUCCAGCCAUUCUGGAAAGCAAGUUGGAGCUAUGUCUAAGAUGCUAUAAAACUGUGUAAUAUUACCACUAGAUCUGUAUCCCAAAAAGAUUAAAGAUUAGGUGUAAAAACUAUUGUAUAAAAGUAUUUAUGGCAACUUUUUUUUUUUUUUUUUUUUGUGGUAUGAAUGAGUUAGUAAUCAAGGGGAUAUCCAUCAACUGGGUAAUGGCAGAAUAAGUUUAAAGUAUGAUUGUAAUGGAAUACUACUGUGCUAUAAGAAAUGAGAAGCAGGACAUUUCAGAAAAACCUAGGAAGACUUAUAUAAUGUCAUGAAAUGUGUAGUGAGCAGAAUAAGGAGAACUCUUAGCACAAUAACAGCAACAUUGUAAGGAUAAUCAACUAUGAAAAACUGAGCUACUCUGAUUACAGCAACGAUUCAAGAUAUUUCCAAAGAUACCAUGAUGAAAAAUGCUGUGGUGAGACAGAAUGAACUCUGAAUGCAAAUUAAAGCAUACUUUCUUUAAAUUUUUUCUUGUUUUUACUUUUCUGUAUUUUCUUUUGCAGCAUGGCUAAUAUGAAAAUUUGUUUAGCGUGAUACUUCACCUGUGUAAUUGAAAUCAAGUUAUCUACCUGCUCAAGGCAAAGAGGAGGGGAGAGAAUUUGGAACUCAAUAUUUUUAUAUAAAUCCUUCUAAAACAUCUCACUUCCCAGCUUCCUUUUGGAUAUUUUCUACCCCAUUAAAAUACAAGUUCCUUGAAGACAAUGUGAACCUGAAAAGUCUGGAAGUUCUACUAGCAGUUGGAAUUAAAUAAUAGCAGAGGAGGAAUUUCUAGUGAUUAUCCAGCAUAUUUGAAGAAGAUAACCAUUAAUAAGAGGAUUAAGUCUGGCUGCAUCUUUUUAGUGUCAAAUGAAGGUGAAAAAUAAAAUGUCUGAUCAGUAGACCUGCAAACUGCUUCAUGCCCAUCUAUUCAUUCAUUCAGUUAGUUAAUAGUUUCCUCUAGUUAUAUUUAACACAAGUUUUUUAUAUUUGUUUUUCAAAAUGUUGUGUUCCGGGGCAGCUAGUUAGUGUAGUGGAUGGAGCCCUGAAAUCAAUUCAUAUCUGACCUCAGACUGGUAACAAUUCCUAUUUGUGUGACCCUGGGCAAGUCACUUAAUCCCAAUUGCCUCAGAAAAGAAAAAAAAUGGAGUUCCAGACUUUCCCUUAUCCCUACUUCCAGUCACCAUUAAGAAACCACAUGUGAAGUUAUGCAAAACAUUUUUAUAAAAGUAAUGGUGUGAAAGAAAACAUAGAUCUCCUACCCUAAUAAAAACCCAAAACAAAACAAACAAACAAACAAAAAAAAAAAAACAGAGAAAGAGAGAGAGAGACAGAGACAGAGAGACAAAGAGGAAGGAGGGAGAAAUGGAGGGAGAGAGGAAUGUUUCAAUCUAUAUCCAGACACAAUCAGUUCCCUCUCUGAGUAUGGAAAGGAUUUUUCAUCAUAAGUCCUUCAGAGUAGUACAGCUGAGAAUAGCUAAGUCAUUCACAGCUGAUCAUCCUACAACACUAUUAUCUUGUAUACAGAACAUUUUACUUUGCUUGAGUUCAUGGAGGAUUUUCCAGGUUUUUUCUGAUAGCAUUCUUCUCAUCAGUUCCCCAAAAUCAAUAACAUUCCAUCAUAAUAUCAUAAUUUCCAACUCUCUGCUCUGAGAAAAGAGCUGCUAUAAAUUUCCAUACACAUAGGACCCUUUCCUUUUCCUUAAAUUUCCCUUAGGAUUCAUGUCCAGCAGUGGUAUUAUUAGGUCAAAGGAUAUGCAUGAAUUUAUAGCCCUUUGGGCAUAGAUGUUAUUUUUUGAUUAUCAAUUGUGGCAUGGCUCUUAUUUUUUAUAACUUUUACUCAGUUCCUUCUAUGUUUGAAAAAUGAGACCUAAUCAGAGAAACUUGCUUCAAAAUUCUUUUUAUAAUUACUAUUACUAAUUGUAUUUCCCCCCAUUUAUUCUAUUUUCCUUUCAUCUUGUCCCUCCUCAAAAGUGUUUUGCUUCUGACCACUCCCUCCCCCAAUAUGCUCUCUCUUUCAUCACCUUCCCCCCUUCCCAUACUCAUUCCCUUUUCAUUUUCCUUCAGGGUAAGAUAGAUUUCUAUACGCAUGAGUUUAAACAUUAUUUCCUUUUUGAGCCAAUUCUGAUCAGAGUAAGGUUCACUCACCCUCUCUUCCCCUACACUAAAUGCUUUUUCUUGUCUCUUUUUAUGGCAAAUAAUUCACAUCAUUCCACUCUUCCCUUUUCCUUUCUCCCAGUACAUUCCUCUCCCAUUAAUUUAAAUUUUUUGGUAGAUAUUAUUCUUUCAUAUUCAACUCACAUCCGUGCCUUCUAUUUAUACUCCUCUUAAUUACCAAAAUAAAGAAAAAGCUCUAAUGAGUUACAAGUAUCAUACUCUCAUGUAGGAAUGCAAACAAACAAACCAAAAAAACCUUAUGAAGUCCCUUAUGAUAUCACUUUACUGAUUACCUUCUUAUGCUUCUACUAAGUCAAGUUUUCUAUUCAGCUCUGGUCUUUUCAUCAUGAAUGCUUGAAAACCUAUUUCAUUGAAUUUCCACCUUUUCCUCUAAAGGAUUAAAGUCAGCUUUUUUGGUUUGUUUUUGUUGUUUUUUCUUGGUUGUAAUCCUAGCUCCAUUGCUCUCUAGAAUAUAUUCCAAGAUCUCUGGUUCUUUAAUGUAAAUGUUGCUAAAUUUUGUGUUAUCCCUACUGUCCUUAUCUCCUUACUCACUAUAUUUGAAUUGUUUUUUCUUGCAACAUUUUCUCCUUGACUAGGAGUUCCAAAAUUUGGUUAUUAUAUUCCUAGGAGUUUUCCUUUUAGGAUCUCUUUCAGGCGGUGAUGGGUAGACUCUUUCAAUGUCCAAUUUACUCUCUGGUUCUACAAUAUCAGGAUAGUUUUCUUUGAUUUUUUGAAAGAUGGUAUUUGUUUGUUUGUUUGUUUGUUUUUGAUUAUGACUUUCAGGUAGACCAGUAAUUUUUAAAAUGAUAUAUCUUGGAUCUAUUUUCUAGGUCAGUUGUUUUCCAAUGAGAUAGUUCACAUUUUCCCCCUAUUUUUUUCCUUUUUCUUUUGCUUUAUUGUAUUUUGAUUUCUCAUAAAGUCAUUAGUUUCUAUUUGCUCACUUCUAAUUUUUAAGGAAUUAUUUUCCUCAGCUUUUGUAUCUCUUUUCCCAUUUGGCCAAUUUUGCUUUUAAAGGCAUUCUUUUCCUUGUUAACUUUUUGUAUUUCUUUUUGCACCACUCAAUUCUUUCCCUAUUUUUUCCUCUAUUUCUCUUAUUUGAUUUUCAGAAUCCCUUUGGAGCUCUUCCAUAGUCUGAGACCAAUUCUAAGAGGAAGCUCUGGAUGUAGGAAUUUUUAAUUUUGUUAUAUUCUUGUAUGUGUUUUGACUUCCUUGUCAUCAUAGUAACUUUUUACGGUCAGAAACUUUUUCUGUUGUCUGCUCAUUUUGGCUUUUAACUCUUUAUUAAAGUUGGGCUCUGUUUCUAGGAUGGAGGAUGCACUGUCCUAAACUUCAAGGGUUUUAUAUAGCUGUUUUCAGAGCUCCUUCUAGGGUCCUGAUCACAAGCCCUCUUUUCUGCUCUGGAGCUGUUAGGAGUGUCCCUGCCCUGCUAUAUCUGUAAGAUCUAGUGUGCAGAAGAGACUUCCUUUGCUGGCACUGGGGCCGGGCUAUGUUGGGAUUGCAUGAAAGAUCUGUUGCCACGGAUCUUUUCUGUUGACCUUCCUCUUCAGUGUCUGAACUGAGAGGUCUGGAAGCCACCAACACCUGCUGAUUCAAAGGUCCCUUGAUCUGUUCCUGCUUAGCUGGGGUGGGACCAGGACUGGAGCUGCCCUGGCACAGCCUGCACCAGACCUGCAUGCUAUGGUGUCAUAGAGCUUUUUUGCUACCUUCUAAGUUGUCUUCAGCUGGAAAAGGUUCUACUCUAUCUUUUGGGGUGUUCUGAUGCUCUAAAAUUUGCUUAUUUAAAGGAAUUUGAAGUGGUUUGGGGGAGAGGUUGGGAGAGUUCCUGCCUUUACUCUACCAUCUUGGUUCUGUCUCACUGCUUUAUGUUCAAAUGAUGUUUAAGUAUUUUGCUUUAUGACAAGUUCUUUUUUUUGUUUGCGUUUUCCCUCUACAAGUUAUUCCUUAUAAAUUAAAUGAAUUCCAUAUUAAUCAUGUUAAUAUGUGCUGUGAUUCUCUUAUGCUUAGCAUUGCUUUCAUAUCAUAUACCAAAUACCUCUUGGAUUCCUCUUUUUCCCCCCAAUAGUUUAAGUUGUAAGCUAUUUUUUCUAUAGGAUCCUGGGUGGGUAGCACGAUGGAAUGAAACAAGUGGGAAAGGAACCUAGUCCUCAUUAGAGAGUGAGAGCCUUAUGUCUGAUCUGGAUCCAAACCACAUGUCUACAUUCAGGACCAAGAGGAACAAAUGUCCUACCCCCUGUGGAUUCAUCUGAACAGCUCCUCAGAUUUUCUUCAAUAUUCUCCAUAAAAAAAGAAACUAAAUUAUCUGCUCUAAAUCAGUGGGAGAGGGAAAAGGAUACAAAGCAGUAAGUAGGGGGGAGUUAAGACUAUAAUGAAAAUUUGAGAGAAUAAUAGUUUAAAGUCACUUUGGAGAAUAAAAUUGAGUCAGUAAAUAUUGAAAACAACAGCUCAGCUGAAAUAUAAAUAUGACAUAAGCUUAUGACGUACCUAGGUAGCUAGCUCAAUGGAUGAAGUGCUGGAUCUAGUGCGAGGAAAACCUAAAUUCAAAUCCAACCUCAGACAGUAAUAGAAUAAUCAUGGACAAUUUACUUAACCUCAGUUUGCCUUAAUCCAUUGGGGAAGAUGCUAAAUCAGUACCUUUGCCAAAAGAACACUAUGGCCAGUAUUAGUGUACUAUAGUCCACGGGGUCACAGAAGAGCAGAGUAAUCUCUUUUCUUUUAGCAAUCUGAAGAACACACAAUCUGAUAGUGAGUUAUUCAGGGUUGAGGAUGAGAUGAAGAUUAGGGACAAAAAGCUCUCUAAGAACAUAAAAGUGGAAAAUCUGGGGGUCAAAUUUAGUUGUAAAACAAGUGAAAUUGGAAUGGGGAAAAUGGGCUAGGAAAAUAAGGACCUGCAAUAUAAGUAGAAAGAAUCAUGUUUAAGGUGUAUGAGUGAGACAGUAAAUUAUAGUAUAAGGGUGGUAUUGUAAAGUUUAGGUUUGGCCAUUGAAGAAUGGUAGAAUUGGAGAUUGCCAGAACUAAGGAAGCUGAAGAAUUUCAUCAUUCAAGUACUAUUCAAGGUAAUUGAAGUGAGAAUUAAGAUCCCAAAGGAUAAAGAUUAGAGUGUAAAAGGGAGAAAAAUCUAAGAAGACUGGCAAGAUAGGAAAGAUCCAGGUUGUAAAAAUGUCAAAUAGGAUUUUUUAUCUCAGGAAGUAGAAUAUAUGGAGAAGAAUGACAUGAUUAGACCAUCAUUUUAGGAAGCUAAGCUUGGAAGAUCAGGUGGAAGCUAUAUGGGGAGAAACAAAACCAAUCAGCAGGCUACUAUAUAAGUCCAAGCAUGAGAUGAUGAGGACCUUUACCAGGGUUACUAGAAUAAGUAGAAAGCAGCAUAUAAGAGAGAAGAGAGGAUAGAAAGUAGGACUUGGAAAAAUUGGAUGUGUGGGAAUGUGUGGGGUGUGUUUCAGAGAGAAGUUAAGAAUUUCACUUAAGUUGAGUUUUCAUAUGAAAAUAAAUGUCCAUUCUUUUGUUAUUCUUCAAAUGGAACUUCUUCUGGUUGAUCAGAAUAACUUUAAGAGGAGCAUGCGAGAAAUGAAUUAUUUUGGUAAAUGGUUGUUAUAAGUAGGCAAAGAAAAAAUCAAGUGAAGCUUAACAUAUGUAAAGAGUAAAGGACAAAAUAUCUCAUAAAAAGGCAAGGAUAUGAGCUUUAAAAGGAGAUUUUGCCAUAAAACUAUACUGUGUUAAGUUUUUUUUUUUAAUUUUUGUUAUAUGUUUAUGAAAUACAAUUUUGGAAUCUUUUAAUCAAUUUUUUUUUUUUUUUGCUAAGGUAUUUAAAGAUUACGUGUUGUCACAGGAAGUAUGCUUAAAAUAUAUGUAGUAAGAUAACCUCAUAGCAGUAGAAGGAAAUAAGCACAGCAUGUAUAAUCCUAUAAUGCAGUUAAAUUUCCACCAGUUUGUAGUCAUUUUAUUAUCUAUGCCACCUUACAGACUAUUUUAUACACUGAUAAACAGUGCUUGGUACAGUAUUGAGCAUUAGAAAUAAGCUGAUAAAUGCAUGUUGCUUUGACUAUAUAUUAUACUUCUUGUACAUAAAAGGUACUCAAAACAAUAUUUUUAAAUCUUCUUUCAAAAUCCAUUUUAUAUUAAACUAUUAAGCACAGAAGAUAGGUGAGAUAAAGAACAGCAUUAUGCAGAAUAAUUUGAAGUAUUAGUUUUUACUAAUUAAAAAAGGCUAUAUGCUGGUCUUGUUUUAGGACACUAGCAAUACUAGUAUAUGAUCUUUAUUAAACAAACUUAAUAUAUCAUUUUAUUUUAUUAUUCUUCUAAAGUGUAUUUAGUUAUAAUAACCUUAA